AAAUUGAAGAGUUUGAUCAUGGCUCAGAUUGAACGCUGGCGGCAGGCCUAACACAUGCAAGUCGAGCGGCAGCGGAAAGUAGCUUGCUACUUUGCCGGCGAGCGGCGGACGGGUGAGUAAUGUCUGGGAAACUGCCUGAUGGAGGGGGAUAACUACUGGAAACGGUAGCUAAUACCGCAUAACGUCGCAAGACCAAAGAGGGGGACCUUCGGGCCUCUUGCCAUCAGAU
rnacentral:rRNA from 1 species